UUGCUCAAUUGUAAUAUGAUAUACACGUGUACACGAGCUAUGCUUUCAGUUUUGGUUCUGAGCGGAUAAUUGUUCCAUUAUAUAGUGGUUGAUUAUUGUUCAGUGUUGAUGUAUAUCUUCCUCUAAAUUAUCAUCAUCAUCCUUGCUUUUGUUUCAUAUGUCGGGGUUCACAGUCGCAUAAGUUCUAUAGUUCCGUCCAUUUCUAUUAUGGUCUUCAACCUGCUACUGCUAAAACUAGCUCUAUGUUGUGUAUUCUCAUAUAGGUGUGCUUUUCCCUGUGUAUUCUCAUCUAGGUGCGACUCUCUCUCUGUCGCUAGUUCCUCAAUAAAAUCACUGUAGUUUCUAUACAUGUAUACUGUAGUUAAUUAAAUAUGAGGUAUAGAGGAUGGAGUGAGGUGGUGGAGUGAUGGACUUCACCAAGCAGUUGAAGCAAAAGAAGUUUUGUCGAUUCAAAACGAAACUGUAACUCUGGCAUCUAUUAGCUACCAAAACUUCUUUCUCCAGUUUCCAAAACUUUGUGGAAUGACUUGAACUGCAGCAACUGAAAGCACAGAAUUUGAAAGCAUAUACAAGCUUAAAGUUACAAUUGUCCCCACAAACAAGCCUAUGAUAAGAAAGGAUGAGUUUGAUGUAUUUUCAGGGCAACUAAAGGUAAAUGCCUGGCAGUUGUAGUAGAGAUUUCUAGAAUGCACAAAACAAUUCGCCCUGUACUUGUUGGCACAACUAGUGUUGAGCAGAGUGACUCAUUGUCUGAGCAGUUGCAAGAAGUUGGCAUUCCCCAUGAGGUGUGGUCUCAUUCAUCCUUUUGGUUUAAGUUGAUUACUGGGGGAGUUUGAAAUAGAAUUAAAUAAUUUAAUGAAAACUGUGAAUUUAAUUCUUUACUUGUACUUUUAUCUCGAAAUUGUGGCACAAAGUGGUCGUCUAGGGGCAGUUGAUAUUGUAACCAAUAUGGCAGAUCGAGGAACAGUCAUAAUCCUUGGUGGGAUCUUGAAUUUAUGGUGAGGUUGCGUGAGAUGCUUAUGCCAAGGUAACACCUGAGCUUCAUAAUAAUUGGUUUUACUUACACAUGAGACGUUCUGUUCUGUUUUACACACGAGAAUUGAUGGAGUUAAUGUUAUGUAUUGAAUACUAUUAAUUCAAUGUUAUGACUUCUAUUCUACUUUAGAGUAUUAAGGCUAGCGUACUCUAGAGAGAAGAAGCCGUUUAUAUGAGUUACAUACUUUAGAUUCCAGCAGCUAAGAAUUUAUAUUUUUGAGCAUCCUGCAGGUUUUCUUUACUAAGGUUCUAACCACAUUUCAUUUUGUUAUAAUAUUCUUGCAUAGUUGUAAAACUAACUGAAGGAGGUUAUGUCUAAUGAAAAAACUUUCACCGAAAAAGUCCUGGGAGAUGUGCUUUGUCUUUGAUCUUGAUAUGUAGAUGAUUAUUACUUUAGCUAGGGAAGUUUAGAUAUGGCAGACUUGCAGUUUUCAAUGAUUUUAUCAUCUUGAAACUCAGAAUGGUUUUUUUCAGGUUAAUGAAAAGCUAUUCCCAUGCAAACUAUUCAAUGAAAAGACCAAGUUAGCUGAGGAAGCUGUGAAUUUAGCUGAAACUUGGGGUCAGAGAUCAUUGACGGAGCUAGAAGCAGAGGAGCGACUUUCUUACUCUUGCGAAAAGGGACCUGCUUUGGAUGAAGUGAUAUAUACCCCAAAUCUCAAUUAUUCAACUCAGUGCAGGUAUAUUAUUCUUUUCCAACCUUUGGGGACUGUCAAGUUCGGGACAUGCUGAGUAUUGGGUGUUUUUAGUGGUUCUCACUGGUAGUUACAGGAUUGUCUGGAGUUACUUUGAACCGAGUUUUGUGAGACAUUUUAUAGAAUGGAAAUA